GGAGGUGGGAACAUGACAUUCGAUCCGAAUAGAAUCAUCCUUUUGGAUGAGCUUGAGCAUGAGAUUGAAGGAAUUAUUUUUGAAUGCAGAAUUUAAAUCAAACCUUCAUUGUUUUGCUUCCUGUUUUUUAUGAACAGGGAGUUUU
rnacentral:sRNA from 1 species